GAUGAACGCUGGCGGCGUGCUUAACACAUGCAAGUCGAACGGAAAGGCUCCUGCUUGCAGGGGUACUCGAGUGGCGAACGGGUGAGUAACACGUGGGUGAUCUGCCCUGCACUUCGGGAUAAGCCUGGGAAACUGGGUCUAAUACCGGAUAGGACGAUGGUCUGGAUGCCAUUGUGGAGAGUUUUUCGGUGGGGGAUGAGCUCGCGGCCUAUCAGCUUGUUGGUGGGGUAAUGGCCUACCAAGGCGUCGACGGGUAGCCGGCCUGAGAGGGUGUACGGCCACAUUGGGACUGAGAUACGGCCCAGACUCCUACGGGAGGCAGCAGUGGGGAAUAUUGCACAAUGGGCGGAAGCCUGAUGCAGCGACGCCGCGUGGGGGAUGACGGCCUUCGGGUUGUAAACUCCUUUCGUCAGGGACGAAGCGAAAGUGACGGUACCUGGAUAAGAAGCACCGGCUAACUACGUG
rnacentral:rRNA from 1 species